GGAUGGAUCUGAGUAAGAGCAUAGCUGUUGGGACCCGAAAGAUGGUGAACUAUGCGUGAAUAGGGUGAAGCCAGAGGAAACUCUGGUGGAGGCUCGCAGCGGUUCUGACGUGCAAAUCGAUCGUCAAAUUUGCGCAUAGGGGCGAAAGACUUAUCGAACCAUCUAGUAGCUGGUUCCUGCCGAAGUUUCCCUCAGGAUAGCAGUGAUA
rnacentral:rRNA from 1 species